UACGUCAUCGAGGCGAGGCUCCGCCCCUGCACGGAUUUGUUGUGAAAACAGUCGCACCCGUUCUGAUGUGCGCCCAGUGUGUGCAUCCUUGUGCACGUCACGUCGCAGCGCUAGUGCGUGCGUCAUUGUGCACGUGGCAGUGUAGCCAAAGGCUAGGAGGUGACGCCACGCACGUCACGAGUGUAUAAAAUUGGCUGGAGUCAGCGUAAGCUGAAACUGCGGAUGCUAUGCCCUCGGCGUGAGGUAUGUUGGUGUACAAAGAUGCGACAUCCAUAGUGACCAAGUAACCCCCCGCCGGUACCGUCAGGUUUGAUACCUCCCGAAGGAAAUGAUUUGUGUCUUUAAUGUACGAGGGAAAUGAAGAUGGGAUGUCCUUAAUGAGACUGUCAAUAAAGCUGGAUAUUUUCUCA